rnacentral:misc_RNA from 1 species
GUUGCGGCUCUGGUGUUCACUCGUGGUUCUUGUGUUGCCUACCCGUUUAGUGGUAUUCAUGUGCCUCUUAAGACCCGUUCCAUCAAGACCCCUUGUAGGGGCUGUUGGGGAGUUUGAAAGUGAUGCAUGUUAUGCGUUAGCUGUGCAUUGUAACAGCUUGCGUGCUCACAUGUGUUUGUUGUUCCCUCGGAUGCGGUGCAUGCGGUGAAUGUGGGUUGACAAUGUGCCCCGUUGAGUCCCUUCGAUUUAUUGGUUGCCUUGAAUGACACUCUGUCGUAGUGCUGGUGUUGCUUCACCAUUCGUGGUGGCAACACUUGCAUGUCGAACAGAGUCGUUGAUGGAUGCUACCUGGUUGAUCCUG